UGCUGGCCUUGAAAAUGCAUCAGGCUAGGUAAUGUGAUGAGGUAAUGCUGCGACUCUGCCCUCUGCUUCCCCUCCCUGAUGUUACUGAGGAUUUAUUGAUGAGACUGGAAGAAAAACAACACAGAAUGGCCUUUGGCUGCACCUUGGGCAAGGCUGGCACAAAGCCCAGCUGAAUUCUGCUUUGUACCCAUGUGCACCUGAGAUGCCAAGCUUAGGGAAAGCUGGGAGGUCCCGGAAAGCACGGAGGAGUCCCUGCCACACAGCUCCGGGGAGCACAGAACACAUGCAGUGUGCUAUGGGAACCUCCUGGCAAAGAUGAUGUGGGGAAGAAAGGAGCAGCAGACAGAAGAUGCUGAACCACAGGCACCAGUUAUAAAUAGAACCCAAAGGAGCAGAGGAAGGUCAGGCUAAUCCAGCAGCAGGAUGAAUGGAAGAGAGGCUGGAUCUGGCCUUGCGCAGAAGGAAGAAGGCCACAUCAUACUACCAGAGGGAGCCUGUAUGCCUACCACAAGCUGAGGAGGGCCCUGCAGGGAAAGCCACUGGUGCCAAAGAAGCCACAAUGCCAUCUGUCCUGGCAUGAUGCCACCAAGAGGGGCUUGCCAGAGCCAGUGCCAUGCUGUUUGGACUUUGGGUCUCCACGCUGUGAAGCAGCCAGCCGAACCACUGAACUAAAUCCUCAGCUGGGUCUCCACAAC
rnacentral:lncRNA from 1 species